rnacentral:rRNA from 1 species
AAGGAUCAUUACCGAAGUAUAGGCCCUUUUAUAGGGCUAAACUUCCACCCUUUGUUUACUAUUCUUCGUUGCUUUGGCGAGACGUCUUCGGACCACCGGCUCUCGGGCUGGUGAGCGCUCGCCAGAGGAAAAACAAACCCAAACCUUUUUUUAGUGUUGUCUGAGAAACAAGUUUAAUUAUUAAAACUUUCAACAACGGAUCUCUUGGCUCUGGCAUCGAUGAAGAACGCAGCGAAAUGCGAUAAGUAAUGUGAAUUGCAGAAUUCAGUGAAUCAUCGAAUCUUUGAACGCACAUUGCGCCCCUUGGUAUUCCGGGGGGCAUGCCUGUUCGAGCGUCAUUAUCACCCCUCAAGCUCAGCUUGGUGUUGGGGCCUGCCUGUCACAGGGCAGCCCUUAAAAGCAGUGGCGGUGCCAUCUGGCUCUACGCGUAGUAAUACUUCUCGCGACAGAGUCCCGGUGGUGUCUUGCCAGAACCCCCCAUAUUUUAAUGAAUUGACCUCGGAUCAGGUAGGGAUACCCGCUGAACUUAAGCAUAUCAAUAAGCGGAGGAAAAGAAACCAACAGGGAUUGCCUCAGUAACGGCGAGUGAAGCGGCAAAAGCUCAAAUUUGAAAUCUGGCUCUUUCAGGGUCCGAGUUGUAAUUUGUAGAAGAUGCUUUGGGUGUGGCUCUGGUUUAAGUUCUUUGGAAUAUUACAUCAUAGAGGGUGAGAAUCCCGUGUGUGACCAGUCGCCGCGCCCGUGUAAAGCUCUUUCAACGAGUCGAGUUGUUUGGGAAUGCAGCUCAAAAUGGGAGGUAUAUUUCUUCUAAAGCUAAAUAUUGGCCAGAGACCGAUAGCGCACAAGUAGAGUGAUCGAAAGAUGAAAAGCACUUUGGAAAGAGAGUUAAACAGUACGUGAAAUUGUUGAAAGGGAAGCGCUUGCAACCAGACUUGCACGCAGUUGAUCAUCCGGUGUUCUCACCGGGGCACUCUGCUGCGUUCAGGCCAGCAUCGUUUUUGGUGGUUGGAUAAAGACCUUGGGAAUGUAGCUUCUUUCGGGGAGUGUUAUAGCCCUCGGUGCAAUGCAGCCUACCGGGAACGAGGACCGCGCUUCGGCUAGGAUGCUGGCGUAAUGGUUGUAAGCGGCC